rnacentral:rRNA from 1 species
UGUUUGAUGUUCUAACGUGGACCCGUUACCCGGGUUGCGGACAGUGUCUGGUGGGUAGUUUGACUGGGGCGGUCUCCUCCUAAAGAGUAACGGAGGAGCACGAAGGUUGGCUAAUCCUGGUCGGACAUCAGGAGGUUAGUGCAAUGGCAUAAGCCAGCUUGACUGCGAGCGUGACGGCGCGAGCAGGUGCGAAAGCAGGUCAUAGUGAUCCGGUGGUUCUGAAUGGAAGGGCCAUCGCUCAACGGAUAAAAGGUACUCCGGGGAUAACAGGCUGAUACCGCCCAAGAGUUCAUAUCGACGGCGGUGUUUGGCACCUCGAUGUCGGCUCAUCACAUCCUGGGGCUGAAGUAGGUCCCAAGGGUAUGGCUGUUCGCCAUUUAAAGUGGUACGCGAGCUGGGUUUAGAACGUCGUGAGACAGUUCGGUCCCUAUCUGCCGUGGGCGCUGGAGAACUGAGGGGGGCUGCUCCUAGUACGAGAGGACCGGAGUGGACGCAUCACUGGUGUUCGGGUUGUCAUGCCAAUGGCACUGCCCGGUAGCUAAAUGCGGAAGAGAUAAGUGCUGAAAGCAUCUAAGCACGAAACUUGCCCCGAGAUGAGUUCUCCCUGAGACUUAGAGUCUCCUGAAGGAACGUUGAAGACGACGACGUUGAUAGGCCGG